rnacentral:rRNA from 1 species
AGUGAACGCUGGCGGUAGGCCUAACACAUGCAAGUCGAACGGCAGCACAGGAGAGCUUGCUCUCUAGGUGGCGAGUGGCGGACGGGUGAGGAAUACAUCGGAAUCUGCCCAGUCGUGGGGGAUAACGUAGGGAAACUUACGCUAAUACCGCAUACGACCUUCGGGUGAAAGAGGGGGAUCGCAAGACCUCUCGCGAUUGGAUGAGCCGAUGUCGGAUUAGCUAGUUAGCGGGGUAAUGGCCCACCAAGGCGACGAUCCGUAGCUGGUCUGAGAGGAUGAUCAGCCACACUGGAACUGAGACACGGUCCAGACUCCUACGGGAGGCAGCAGUGGGGAAUAUUGGACAAUGGGCGCAAGCCUGAUCCAGCCAUACCGCGUAGGUGAAGAAGGCCUUCGGGUUGUAAAGCCCUUUUGUUGGGAAAGAAAUCUUUCAGGCUAAUACCCUGGGAGGAUGACGGUACCCAAAGAAUAAGCACCGGCUAACUUCGUG